AUUGAACGCUGGCGGCAGGCCUAACACAUGCAAGUCGAGCGAGCGGCGGACGGGUGAGUAAUGUAUGGGGACUGCCCGAUAGAGGGGGAUCACUACUGGGAACGGUGGCUAAUACCGCAUCCUAUCGGAUAACCCAUAUGGGAUUAGGUAGUAGGUGGGGUAAAGGCUCACCUAGGCGACGAUCUCUAGCUGGUCUGAGAGGAUGAUCAGCCACACUGGAACUGAUACACGGCCCAGACUCCUACGGAGGCAGCAGUGGGAAAUAUUGGAAAAUGGGCGCAAGCCUGAUGCAGCCAUGCCGCGUGUAUGAAGAAGGCCUUAGGGUUGUAAAGUACUUUAAGCGGGGAGGCGUUACCAGCAGAAGAAGCACCGGCUAACUCCGUGCCAGCAGCCGCGGUAAUAC
rnacentral:rRNA from 1 species